UAAUUACCUAAGUGGAGAGAUUCCAAAUGAACUAGGAAACCUAUCACAGCUCAGAAGUUUGGAUAUAUCAAGUAACUCCCUCAGUGGGAAUAUACUCCAUUACUUGGGAAACUAUAUAAUCUCAAAAAUUUUAAUGUUUCAGCCAAUUUUCUGGUCGGACCAAUACCUUCUGAUGGUGCGCUUGCUAACUUUAUAGUAGACUCAUAAGUA